CAGCGUCUCAGCAUGAACAGACACAUUAUUAGGGUAUCAGUUUUCCAAAGUGAAUGGGAAGAUUUUCAGAAUCUCAGAGUGAAUGGGCAUAUUAUCAGUUUCUUGAAGUGAAUAGGCAAAUUAUCAGAACUUCAGCGUAACUGGGCAGAUUGUCAGAAUCUCAGAGUGAAUGGGUGGAUAAUCAGUGCUGUUGAAGUGAAUGGGAGUGGAUGAGUAGAUUAUCAGUGUCUUUGAGUGAAUGGGCAGAUUAUGGAGGUCUCAUAGUGAACAGGAUGAUUAUCAGAAUCUCAGAGAGAAUGGGUACAUUACUAAUUGUCUAAGUGAAUGGGCAGAUAAUCAGAGUCUUAGACUGAAUAAGUAGUUUAGCAAUGUUUUGGAUGUAAAUGGGAGUAAAAGAAUAGAUUAAUAGGGUCUUGUAUUGAGUGGGUAGAUUAUCAGGGUCUAGGAGUGAAUGGUCAGAUUAUCAGUGUCUUGGAUUAUCAGGGUCGCGGAGUAAAUGGUUAGAUUAUCCAUAUCUUGGAUCAUCAAGGUCUAAGGAGUGAAUGGUUAGAGUAUCAGUGUCUUGGAUUAUCAUUGUCUCGUAAAUGAAUGGUUAGAUUGUCAGGGUCUUGGAAUAUCAGGGUCUC